GCCGAUUGCAGCCCAGGAUCAUUAUCAUCUCUCCACCUUUUCCCUGGGGCAGAAGUGGCCAGCACGGAUUUCUCCCUCUCGCCCUUGAACCCUUCCGUCGUGUCCGGCACCACCUGCAACUUUGGAAAAACGCACGACAAAGCUACCCGAAAGGGAAUGGCGGGCUCUGCGAGCAGGGUCCGAGCCACCUCCCGUUUCCCCACCCAUCCACCCAAAAGGCCAGGUAAGCCGUUUUGAACCACCCUUUCUUCGGUCCUUGACUUUGAGCCGAAACGGAGCCAGGGGGAAAGGAACGGAGCGCGCCGCGUGGCUCCGGGUUUUAACCGGCCCUGUCAGCCCGUUUUUCUCCUUCUGGGCUCUCACUUCUGCACGUGCUCCUUUGUUCUCCACAACAGAAGCUUUUUAUAUACUUCUCAUAAUAUGAGCCAGCUGGAGGGAGGCACAAACGGAGGGAAGGAUCGGAGGGAAGCCCCGCAAACGCGCCGCCCCAGAGCUCGUCUUUCUUAAGAGCUGGCAGACGGGCGAAGGAGACGGGCAGCUCGGGAGGAGAAGAAGGAGGAGGAGGAGGAGGAGAAGAGGAAGAGACGUCCAAGGCUGGGGCUGCUGACAAAACUUUAGCGCGGCGGAGACAGAAAGGAAGAGAAAGAAAGAAAGAAAGAAAGAAAGAAAGAAAGAAAGAAAGAAAGAAAGAAAGAAAGAAAGAAAGAAAGAAAAAGAAAGAGACUGUAUAAAAGGCUCCAGCUGGAUGUAACUGAACACUUUCCUGAAAGGCACAUCGAGACGGACGGACGACGAACAGCGUCGCGAAGGUGGACAAAGGCAGGAGCUGAAACCAGACAACUCAACUUGUCCGCCGGGCCUGGACCAGACAGAAAAGACCCCCCGAGAUGUUCCGGAGACUCCUAAAGAUGUUCAGUUGGAUAGUGGCUGCUCACAAGAUAUCUCGGAAGGAAGCCUCAAGACUUGGGAAUGGACCUGCACUUUGGCGGCACUGUCUAGGGGAGGACAGAUCCCAAAAAAGGAUCCACUACAAAAAAAACACGGGACAUGUUGGAAUAUUUGCAAACCAAGGGAAACUGGUUUCUUCCCACCACGCUGAGCUAAAUAAAACCAAGAAUUCUAAGGA